rnacentral:lncRNA from 1 species
AAAAUUGCAUUUUACAAAGUUAUAUGGUUUCCUAUUUAGAGUACCUGAUGAGGAUGUUUCUAGAGAUGGUGGGACCAGGAAAGAAAAUUGUUCUGCUGGCCUCAACUGUAAAUGUGUCCUGCCUUGGAGAUGUACCCCUCUCGUGUGUUGGCAAGUUCUGUACACGGGCUUGGAAGAGGUGAAAGGAAAGAGGUGCAGAAUGUUAGAAAAAGUUAGGGAAGUCACAGUGACAUUACAAGUUUCCCAAUUAGAAGUAAUUUCUGAGUCAGCAAAGAAUGAGAAUUGAGAGACACUGGAGAGCUGUAGAGUUAAGUGGAAUACAUCGUCACUAAGGAAAAGGAAGAAACAGAGACGGAUUACCCUGGGAGAGAGUGAGUUCAGCUCCCC